UACGGAGGGUGCGAGCGUUAUCCGGAUUCACUGGGUUUAAAGGGUGCGUAGGUGGGUUUGUAAGUCAGUGGUGAAAUCUCCGGGCUUAACCUGGAAACUGCCAUUGAUACUACAGGUCUUGAAUUUUCUGGAGGUAAGCGGAAUAUGUCAUGUAGCGGUGAAAUGCUUAGAUAUGACAUAGAACACCAAUUGCGAAGGCAGCUUGCUACAGGAAUAUUGACACUGAGGCACGAAAGUGUGGGGAUCAAAACAGG
rnacentral:rRNA from 1 species